rnacentral:rRNA from 1 species
GACGAACCGUGCGAACGUUAUUCGGAAUUACUGGGCAUAAAGCGCACGUAGGCGGUUCGUUAAGUCAUGUGUGAAAUCCCUCGGCUCAACCGAGGAAUUGCGCCUGAUACUGGCGAGCUAGAGAUCGAUAGGGGUGAGUGGAACUCCAGGUGGAGCGGUGAAAUGCGUAGAUAUCUGGAGGAACACCGGUGGCGAAAGCGGCUCACUGGAUCGAUACUGACGCUGAGGUGCGAAAGCUAGGGUAGCAAACGGG